rnacentral:misc_RNA from 1 species
AAGCGGCACUUGGAAUUUCGUCACGUUUUGUCACAUUACGCCUGAACCGAGCUGAUCACGCCACGCUGCAAUGAUUCCAAGGAUAUCUACCUUCAUUCUCGUUUGCAAUUUGAUUCCCUGGGUAAACCCCUACUUACUAGGAGGCGACCCCCUGAACACCAGAGCAUCGUAUUGCCGCAUAUGUGACGACAAUGACCCCAGCAAUACGUGCAAGAUGCAUAGAGACGACAGCCGUGCAUCCACCAUAUGUACAGUUGAUAAAGGGGCCCCGUUUUGUAUGAAUACAAUAACAGCAGAUGGUGGCGGUGUCAAAAUAACAAAACAAUGUGCCACCAGAUACACCUGCCACAACCUUUGGUGGGAGAGAACAAGUCAAAAUUCAGCCUGCAGCCAAUCAGCUGUCGGAUCUGGUCACCUAGCAACAGGAACCACGUGCAGCAUAUGCUGCGCGGGAAGACACUGUAAUGAUGACAACUGGCCAACAGAUCUGCUCCAGUUUCCUGACACUGUUGUCGUAGCCCCCAAAACCACUGCUGCAACGACAACAGCGCCAACAACUUCAACGUCAGCGCCAACAUCAACAACACCAAAGCCAACAUCUACAACACCGAAGCCAACGUCAACAACAAAGCUGACAACAACACGUCUACCAUUUAUCCUGCAUCAUCCCGUGACGACAUACCACCCCCACUACCACCACCGGACUACCCAUGGGGUACACCACCACACUCCACUUCCAAGCGCGACGGUGUGUAUGCAGUGCGUGGAGGAUCCCAGCAAGGGCUUGCACUGUGACCCUGGACAUCAGACCCAUGUCUGUGGGGGCAGCACUCCCUACUGUAUGACGUCAUAUUACAGUCAGGGUAGCUCGUACAGGAUUGAAAAGAGCUGCGCAGACCGUAGCGAGUGCUAUCAACUUUGGUGGCAGAAAACAUCCACAAAUCAGGAGUGUUUCCGGGAUGACCUUUUGACCUCUACCGGAAGUCGACCCUCUUCCUGUCACUACUGCUGCCGGGCCGUGGGCGUCAGCGCGUACUGCAACAAACUCCCGACACUGGUACCUUCGCAUCUGGUGAUGUUUGCUGCCCUGCCCACAGUACCACAGACAUCCCCUACGGCAACAAGACCUUCUACAGCUACAACUACCGCAACAACACCUUCUACAACUACGACAACAACACCUACACCUGUAACUACUACAACAACACCUUCUACAGCUGCAACAUCGCCUUCUACAGCGAGCACAACUAAGAGCACAUCUGAAGCCACGUCGACGUCACCUUCAACACUGACAUCUGCUGGAACAACAUCAUCAACAGGAAAGAAUCGGUGUCAGGUAUGUGUGGAUGACGGAGUGACGACGUGUGACGUCACAGAUUUGGCUGACUGCCCGGAUGACAAGCCUUUCUGCAUGAACACACUGGAGGUUGACGGGAAGGGGAACAGGGUUGUCACUAAACAGUGUGUUAGUGACACGGUGUGUUACUCGGACUGGUGGCUCCAGACUCGAACCCAGACUAUGUGUAUGGGCAACCUGACCAACAUUCCCGCCAGUAGCCACGGGCUGCUCUGCAAGUGGUGCUGUAAUGACACGUCACCAGGGACGACCUGCAACAGCAACGUCAAACCAGACAACCUCGUGCAGUACGCCAUCCCAACAACAUCGCCUUCUACAACCACGACAUCAACAACAACAACCACCACCACAACGACGACGCCUAAAUUAGUGAACCGUUGUCAGGUAUGUGUGGAUGAUGGAGUGACGACAUGUGACGUCACAGAUUUCGCUGACUGCCCGGAUGACAGACCCUUCUGUAUGAACACACUGGAGGUUGACGGGAAGGGGAACAGGGUUGUUAGAAAAGAGUGUGUAAGUGACACGGUGUGUUACUCGGACUGGUGGCUCCAGACUCGAACCCAGACUGUGUGUAUGACCAACCUCACCAACAUACACGCCAGUAGCCACGGCCUGCUCUGCAAAUGGUGCUGCAACGAUACGUCUUCAGGCACGUCCUGCAACAGUGACGUUCAACCACACAACCUCGUACAGUACGACAUCACCACAACAGCUACAACGCCAGUGUCUACAACACACACAACUACUACAGUGCCAUCAACGUCAACAGUGUCAUCAACGUCUACAGUGCCAGCAACGUCUACAGUGCCAUCAACGUCUACAGUGCCAUCAACGUCAACAGUGCCAUCAACGUCUACAGUGCCAUCAACAUCGAAAACGAUGACAACAACUACGCAAAAAUUAGUGAAGAACCGGUGUCAGGUAUGUGUGGAUGACGGAGUGACGACAUGUGACGUCACAGAUUUCGCUGAGUGCCCGGAUGACAAGCCUUUCUGCAUGAACACACUGGAGGUUGACGGGAAGGGGAACAAGGCUGUCACUAAACAAUGUGUAAGUGACACUGUGUGCUACUCGGACUGGUGGAUCCAGACUCGAACCCAGACUGAGUGCAUGGCCAACCUCACCAAUAUACACCCUAGUAGCCACGGGCUGCUCUGCAGAUGGUGUUGUAACAACACGUCUCCGGCCACACCCUGUAACGAGAACACCACACCAUCCAACCUCGCUCAGUACGACAUCAUCACGACAACAGCAACGUCUCCAACGCCAUCGGCAAGUAGUUUCACUGCGUCUCCAUCUCCAACACCAAGUAGGUUCAUCAAUACAGCUUCUACAACACCGUCCACUACGGCGACAUCCAGUAAUUCCUUCAACACAACGUCUGCGGUACCGUCCACUACGGCGACAUCCAGUAAUUCCUUCAACACAACGUCUGCGGUACCGUCCACUACGGCGACAUCCAGUAAUCCCUUCAACACAACGUCUGCGGUACCGUCCACUACGGCGACAUCCAGUAAUCCCUUCAACACAACGUCUGCGGUACCGUCCACUACGGCGACAUCCAGUAAUCCUUCAACACAACGUCUGCGGUACCGUCCACUACGGCGACAUCCAGUAAUCCCUUCAACACAACGUCGACGGUACCGUCUACUACGGCGACUGCUUCAACAAGUGUGACAGCAGCGACUACAUCAACGUCCUCGGCUAAGCCAACAUCAAGUGGCAAAGGUCCAACAACGUGCUGGGACUGCAGCAAUGGCUGCCCCUUCAUUCAGCACCCCAUGACGUGUACAUCCGGGUACUGUCUGACGACGGUCACAGACGACAUCCAGUACACCAGGACAAUCAGGAAGAG